AAGUCGAGCGAGAAAGUACCCUUCGGGGUGCGAGUACAGCGGCGAACGGGUGAGUAACACGUAAGCAAUCUGCCCCCAAAUCUGGGAUAACUCUGCCAACGCGGGGCUAAUACCGGAUGUGGUCACGGCAUCGCAUGGUGUUGUGAUUAAAGAUGGCUUCGGCUAUCGUUUGGGGAUGAGCUUGCGGCCCAUUAGCUUGUUGGUGGGGUAAUGGCCCACCAAGGCGACGAUGGGUAGCCGACCUGAGAGGGUGAUCGGCCACAUUGGGACUGAGAUACGGCCCAGACUCCUACGGGAGGCAGCAGUAGGGAAUUUUGCGCAAUGGACGAAAGUCUGACGCAGCGACGCCGCGUGAGGGAUGACGGCCUUCGGGUUGUAAACCUCUGUUGAGUGGGACGAAAACUCGUAGGGUUAAUACCCCUGCGACCUGACGGUACCACUCGAGGAAGCUCCGGCUAACUACGUGCCAGCAGCCGCGGUAAUACGUAGGGAGCAAGCGUUGUUCGGAAUCACUGGGCGUAAAGGGAGUGUAGGCGGAAAAGUAAGUUAGGAGUGAAAUACACAGGCUUAAACCUGUGGCCCGCUCUUAAUACUGCUUUUCUUGAGUAUGGGAGAGGAAGAUGGAAUUCCAGGUGUAGCGGUGGAAUGCGUAGAUAUCUGGAAGAACACCAGUAGCGAAGGCGGUCUUCUGGCCCAAUACUUGACGCUGAGGCUCGAAAGCUAGGGGAGCAACCAGGAUUAGAUACCCCUGGUAGUCCUAGCCGUUAAACGAUGGACCACUAGUUGUCGGGGGAGUCAUUCCCUUCGGUGACGAAGCUAA
rnacentral:rRNA from 1 species